UCCUUCCUUGUCUAGGAGAGCAAAGUGACCUAUGAUCGUAAGUGAGUUCACUGUUGCUGACACCUAAACUAAAAAUAACCGUGCCCGUCCUCAUGUGACGAGUGCAAUUUUUGGAAAA